rnacentral:lncRNA from 1 species
GGCAUAUAAUUAAUUAUUAGAGUAGUGCUUCUACACUUGUUAUUUUUCGCUACUGUUAGUUCACUCCUCUUCAACGGCUCAGAUUUAAUUUUUUAAAUUGUGACCUACAAUAGCAGGCCACUUAGGGAGAGGUACCGGUUACCAGGUACCUCAAAGAAAGAUAUUUUUGUCUUUUAAAGCAUAAAUAAUUUAGUAAUUUUACCUCUACUAUAUUAUCAAAAUAUUUAUUCUCUCUUUGUUUCCUUUUUCUCUCUCUUUAUUUCCUUACAAAUUCAAUUUGUAACGAAUUAAAAUUUGAAAAAUCAACCAAGAACAAAAA